GUGGGGUCAGCCCACGGAGGGGACUAUGGUGAAAUUCCCGGCGCUCACGCACUACUGGCCCCUGAUCCGGUUCUUGGUGCCCCUGGGCAUCACCAACAUAGCCAUCGACUUCGGGGAGCAGGCCUUGAACCGGGGCAUUGCUGCUGUCAAGGAGGAUGCAGUCGAGAUGCUGGCCAGCUACGGGCUGGCGUACUCCCUCAUGAAGUUCUUCACGGGUCCCAUGAGUGACUUCAAAAAUGUGGGCCUGGUGUUUGUGAACAGCAAGAGAGACAGGACCAAAGCCGUCCUGUGUAUGGUGGUGGCAGGGGCCAUCGCUGCUGUCUUUCACACGCUGAUAGGUGAGGCCGCCGACCACCACUGACGAAUCUACCUUUGGCAAUUUCUUAUUCCUUUUUAUUGAUUUAAAUGUAUUUAUUGAGAUAAGUGAUUUCUUCACUAAUUAUCAAAUGUUUUUUAUGAAAUUUUCAGGGGAUAGAAGGAAAGCGCUUGUGCUCCUAGCUUAAGAGGAUAAUGUGUUUUUUCUGGGGAGCUGUAGUUUUGUGUCUCUGAUUCCCAAAGUGAAAAGCAGUGAUUUCAUUAGUAGGGGAUUACAUCUAGGAAUAACAUUUGGUAAGGCCAAUAAAAUAGCAGGUGCUUUCAUUAGAGAUAUGUGUGCAUCAUUGUACUGGGUCAUUAAAUCUUAAGAAUAAAAAUAGAA
rnacentral:sRNA from 1 species